GACAGAGGGUGCGAACGUUGCUCGGAAUUACUGGGCGUAAAGCGCGUGUAGGCGGGUAAUCAAGUCCGGUGUGAAAGCCCCGGGCUCAACCUGGGAAUGGCAAUGGAAACUGGCGGGCUUGAGUAUGGCAGAGGGGGGUGGAAUUCCGCGUGUAGCAGUGAAAUGCGUAGAGAUGCGGAGGAACACCGAUGGCGAAGGCAGCCCCCUGGGCCAAUACUGACGCUCAGGCACGAAAGCGUGGGGAGCAAACAGG
rnacentral:rRNA from 1 species